rnacentral:rRNA from 1 species
CAGCCGCCGCGGUAAUACCGGCGGCCCGAGUGGCGGCCACUAUUAUUGGGCUUAAAGCGUCCGUAGCCGGGUUGGUUAGUCUCCCGGGAAAUCUGGCCGCUUAACGGUCAGAAUGCCGGAGGAUACUCCCAGCCUAGGGACCGGGAGAGGCCGAGGGUAUUCCCGGAGUAGGGGUGAAAUCCUAUAAUCCCGGGAGGACCACCUGUGGCGAAGGCGCUCGGCUGGAACGGGUCCGACGGUGAGGGACGAAGGCCAGGGGAGCAAACCGGAUUAGAUACCCGGGUAGUCCUGGCUGUAAACGAUGCGGACUUUGUGUCGGACAAGCUAUGAGCUUGUCCGGUGCCGGAGGGAAACCGUUAAGUCCGCCGCCUGGGGAGUACGGCCGCAAGGCUGAAACUUAAAGGAAUUGGCGGG